rnacentral:rRNA from 1 species
UACGUAGGGGGCAAGCGUUGUCCGGAUUUAUUGGGCGUAAAGAGCGUGUAGGCGGCCUGACAGGUCUGCUGUGAAAACUCGAGGCUCAACCUCGAGAUGUCGGCGGAAACCGUCUGGCUAGAGUCCGGAAGAGGAGAGUGGAAUUCCUGGUGUAGCGGUGAAAUGCGCAGAUAUCAGGAGGAACACCGAUGGCGAAGGCAGGUCUCUGGGCUGACACUGACGCUCAUGCACGAAAGCGUGGGGAGCAAACAGG